rnacentral:rRNA from 1 species
GACGAACGCCGGCGGCGUGCUUAACACAUGCAAGUCGAGCGGAAAGGCCCUUUUGGGGUGCUCGAGCGGCGAACGGGUGAGUAACACGUGAGUAAUCUGCCCUUCACUUUGGGAUAGCCACCGGAAACGGUGAUUAAUACCGGAUACGACCACCGUGGGCAUCCACUGGUGGUGGAAACUUUUUGGGUGGGGGAUGUGCUCGCGGCCUAUCAGCUUGUUGGUGGGGUAAUGGCCUACCAAGGCUUUGACGGGUAGCCGGCCUGAGAGGGUGACCGGCCACACUGGAACUGAGACACGGCCCAGACUCCUACGGGAGGCAGCAGUGGGGAAUAUUGGACAAUGGGCGGAAGCCUGAUCCAGCAACGCCGCGUGAGGGAUGACGGCCUUCGGGUUGUAAACCUCUUUCAGCACCGACGAAGCGCAAGUGACGGUAGGUGCAGAAGAAGGACCGGCCAACUACGUGCCAGCAGCCGCGGUAACAC